UUGUUUGCGGAUGGAGCAUCAUCAAGAUUCACAAUUUCUUGGGGCUAGCUGCUUUGCUAUUGGCCCUUUGAUGAUAUGGGAAUCUUGAUGAUGCUGCAGCGGCAAUAAA
rfam:Prunus persica cultivar Lovell chromosome G2, whole genome shotgun sequence.